GAUGAAUGCUGGCGGCGUGCCUAAUACAUGCAAGUCGAGCGGCAGCGCGAGUAGUUUACUACUUGGCGGCGAGCGGCGGACGGCUGAGUAACGCGUGGGAACGUGCCCCAAAGUGAGGGAUAAGCACCAGAAAUGGUGUCUAAUACCGCAUAUGGUCUUCGGAUUAAAGGAUUUAUCCGCUUUGGGAGCGGCCCGCGUUUGAUUAGAUAGUUGGUGAGGUAAUGGCUCACCAAGUCGACGAUCAAUAGCUGGUCUGAGAGGAUGAUCAGCCAGACUGGAACUGAGACACGGUCCAGACUCCUACGGGAGGCAGCAGUAAGGAAUCUUCCACAAUGGGCGAAAGCCUGAUGGAGCAACGCCGCGUGAAGGAUGAAGGCCCUCGGGUUGUAAACUUCUUUUAUGAGUGAAGAAUAUGACGGUAACUCAUGAAUAAGCACCGGCUAACUACGUGCCAGCAGCCGCGGUAACAC
rnacentral:rRNA from 1 species